UCUUCUGAUCUUCGGAAAAUCCGUAGUUGAUUUAUCGAAUUCCCGAGCCACCCUGUAUUCUACGUUCAACCGGCACUUCUUGGCACACCCUGUGUACUCGGUGCGUUGAUCGGAUGGCUCGUGGCACGCAUGCCCGGUUACCUCUGUCCGGAAGCCCUCGCCACCGUGGAGAAAACGAUGCUUUCGGGAAAGAGGCCUCCCACUUUCGGUGGAGGAGCAGUCUUCGACUGAUUCUCGGGCGGGAAAGGUCGCCGGCGGUUGGAACCCCGCGCGAUCCCACGGGGAACACGUUCGCUCCGUGUGUGCACGUUACUGUGUUUAAAACACCGCUCUCGACUUAUCACCUGCCGUUCCGCCGGCUGCUCCGGACACGUUCCCGCGUACGAGCUACGUUUUUCGAAACCACUUGACGAAAACGCGAUCCUCCGCGAUCCCCGGAGUGCGCGGAGUUCGAUGUUCUUUCGGUUCAACGAUUCGUUCCUGAAACAACAACAACAGUACAGUCGGUGACGAGAGGACGUGAGGACAAUAUUUUUAUUGUCAGUAGUCGAUAUGCGGCUAGUCCCGGGCCUCUUCCCGUCUCUUCCUCUCCGUCGUUUGUGUUCGUUUUGUCCCGCGUAAGAGACUCGCUGUUUUUCCUACGAUAUGACUCUUUGAUGUUCGGUGAUUCGUGGUGGGGUGAAUGAACAGACACUAUGCUACCGUGAACCUCGACCUCCUCAAAAAAUCUUCAGGUGCGACGGCCGCCUGGUAGAGGGAGAUCAGAUAUUGGCGAUAGAUGGACAACCACUAGACUCGAACAUCUCUCAUGAACAAGCAAUCUCGAUCCUUCAGAAGGCACGCGGUCUGGUCGAGUUGGUCGUAGCAAGAAGCGCCCAAGACGUUGGGAGCUCUUUGCCGACGGAUGAGUUGUCCGGAGCCUCGAGUUCGACAGCGGCCGCGGGAGCAGGUGCGUCCAUCAUCGGCGGCGUUGUCGGCGGUCCAGCGAACCAAACGAGCUCCGACAAGGAUCAAUUGGUGUCCUCCGUCGCCACACCCGCGCCCACACCGAAGUCCAGCCAGCCGACGAGCACCGCCUCGGCGGUCACACCGACACCGACACCGCCGACCUCGACCCCGGUACCCGGGGGCCUCGUCGUCGAGAGGAGCCCCUCCGCCGUCAGCGACGCCUCCAAGAGUGGCUCUGACAUGGUGGUGAGUCUCAUGCUAUUCCUCAGUCUCUUUACUAUCCGAAGUUUUCUC